rnacentral:rRNA from 1 species
AAAACGACUCUCGGCAACGGAUAUCUCGGCUCUCGCAUCGAUGAAGAACGUAGCGAAAUGCGAUACUUGGUGUGAAUUGCAGAAUCCCGUGAACCAUCGAGUCUUUGAACGCAAGUUGCGCCCAAAGCCAUUAGGCUGAGGGCACGUCUGCCUGGGCGYCACGC